CCUACGGGUGGCAGCAGUGGGGAAUAUUGGACAAUGGGGGGAACCCUGAUCCAGCGACGCCGCGUGAGUGAAGAAGUAUUUCGGUAUGUAAAGCUCUAUCAGCAGGGAAGAAAGUGACGGUACCUGAAUAAGAAGCCCCGGCUCACUACGUGCCAGCAGCCGCGGUGAUACGUAGGGGGCAAGCGUUAUCCGGAUUUACUGGGUGUAAAGGGAGCGUAGACGGUGCAGCAAGUACGAAGGGAAAGGUCGGGGACUAAACCAGGGAAUGCAUGGGAAACUGUUGAACUGGAGUACAGGAGAGGUAAGCGGAAUUCCGAGUGUAGCGGUGAAAUGCGUAGAUAUUAGGAGGAACACCAGUGGCGAAGGCGGCUUACUGGACUGUAACUGACGUUGAGGCUCGAAAGCGUGGGGAGCAAACAGGAUUAGAUACCCGGGUAGUC
rnacentral:rRNA from 1 species